CAUUCUAGUGAGUCUCAUAUCAACUUUGAAGUUGGUGGGUAUCAGCAAUUCCCCAAACCUGAACCCGAGGACGCUGCUACACAGAGGACUCCAAGACCAAGUUUUGAUGGAGACCAAACCAGAGCUAAAAGGAGAGUGAUAUUCAGGAAGUGGACACAAACACCACUCCAGAUGAAUAUUAAUGUUGCUCAGUGUUUGUUGGAUAUGUAAAUAGGUACGUCGACCUUGUGACAAACAAAAAUGCCGCUUUAGGAUGUUUGAUUAAAAUCAGUAUAAAAAAAGUCCCUUAUUAUUACUCAAAACUACACUAUAUGAAGGUAUGUAUAGCUAUGUAUUGUGUGUACUGUAACGACAGUAGUGCUUGUUGCUGCAUUGUACAAUUGGCAUCUGUAUACAGUGGCAGUACGAACAAGGAGAAAAAUAUGAUAGUCCAUCCCUUCUGCAAUAACAGUGCAUCUGCUUAUUAAUGUUGUACAUAACUAAAUGAAUAUCAUUAGUGAGGCCUCCAGUGGAGUUUUAUCUGUUCAUUGAUGGUCUAUACUCUAUAUUGUUUCACACAAUUGUGUACUCUGACAAGAAUAACAUUGUGUGUGAAACACUGAAAUGGUGAAAUUUAAAGGGCCAAUUCACCCAAAUGACAAAAAAACAAACAGAUUUUCCUCAUUUACCUCUAGUGCUGUGCAGCCAGCAGACAGCGUAGUUUUAUUUUGCUCAGGUUUUGUCAGAACUCUAUCUCUGAGAUUUCUGCUUCCACACCUACACACCAAUGCAAGGUAAAGGGAAUUACCUUGUAUUGGUGUGUGUGUGGUGUUUGUGCAGAAUUGAGUGUAAAAAUGUUAUUACAUUUUUGUUCAAAUAUGUAUAUUUUCCUAAUUUAGAUGAACAGAUCCUUUAACUUUUACUGACGUUUGGCUCCAGUUGUUACUACAUUUCCUACAAAUGUUCUGUGGGAUGAUACAGAAACUCUGUUAUAUAUUUAUAUAUGAACAUUGAAAAAGAUACAAGGACACAGGAUAUUUAAAUGGACAGUGUGUGAUACUGUCGUUCCUUUGUGUUUGAGCUGUUUAUGACAGGCCUUCCUCACUGGAUUCACCAUGGCAGCGUGGGUUAGUAUGGCUGACAGGGAGGAGGAAGGAAGUUGGGUCAGGAUGGAUGGAACAAGAGUGAACAAAGACAGAUAUUGAUAAACAUAUGGGCUGCAGUGGGCCAGUGGCAGCCUGAUGGAGCUUUUGGAGGAGUAGACUGUGGUGACCGUCGUACAAUGAUUCAUUUCAUGGCUUGAACGACUUCAGCUGUAGUGCCAGAGACCAGUGGAUCUGUGAGAACACAUUAUGGUGGUUCAUUUCUUAAAAUGCAGCGGCAUGUUAAACUAAUGACAGUCCCUAGGGGUUAGAAAUAUGGAUUAGUUUUGCCUCAAAUCUAUUCAACUGAUUUUGGUGGAGAGUUUAUUAUAAAUGUGAUAUUUAUCCUGUCACCUAUCUAUCAUCUACUUGGUCAUACAGUGUAUGAAAUGACCUCUGUCCAAAACAAAUGCCUUAUUGAGCGUUGCCAGACCACAGAGUGAGAGAAGACAAGACUUCUCAGACACUGAUAAAGUCUAUGCAGCUGGAUGUCCAAAACUAAACGGACACACCAAAUGGUAUCAUGCACUGCAUGAAAUAAUAAAUCAUUGACAAAAUUAUAUUUUGUAUUAGCUGCAGACAUCAAAUCUACCACUAGGUGGAACUAGAGUUUCAUAUCAAAAUGAAUGUUACAACUGUGGCUGCCCAAUAACGGCUUUUGUUCUUCUACACAGAUGCACCUCUGAUUUGUAUCUCUCCUUAAUUGUAAAAGUAAUCUUUUCCUGAGUAGGACUUGCUCAUAUGGUCAAUCAGAUUAUACUGGGGAAAUUAUUGAUGCCACAUUUCUGAAUGUUAAUUGCACUUUUUAGGGUAAGUCCCCUAAAUUACUGAUUCAAAUUAUUCAAAUAAACAAGCUGCUGUUAAAGAAGAGGAUAUAUUUAUCAUCUUUCUCCAGACUUGUUUCCUAUCUGCUUAUGGGUAACACUUUAUUAAUUUAG